UUUAUAACAUUCACAGCAUUUUUAUGUUUCGUUAGAAUAGGACUAACAAUGCGUGUUUUGUUCACAGACCUUAGCCUGCUACUGUUUUUCCAGUUCUUUUAUUAAAUCUUUUCUAGUUCUUUUAUUAAACCGUUUAACGGUUUUAUCUUGUUACUAAUAGUUUUCUCCAGAGGGGGAAGGAAGCAAACUUGUUUGUGAGUCGGGUGGUUAGCGUUAAGCACAGCGCUGUCUCUGGGAGGCUAGUUUCUUUUAGAGUAUCCGCUGUAGGGGUUUGUCGGGGGUUUGACUCACUUCUGGGUGACGUGUGUAUGAGCUUUAGUUAAAGGGAGCACUGCGUGUUUUUCUUUAUAUUAUUGUCUCUUGUCUCGGGUCCCUACAGCGGCUUUGUGCUUUUAAAUAAUAGUUGGAUGGCGUUGUGUGUAGUCCCAGGGCCAGCAUAGUCGUCGCUCCUCCCUCCCGUGCUUUAGAGUUUUAAGCCUAUUUUUAUCCCGAUCUGGGUUGUCUUUAAUAAAUCUCCUGUGCUGUAUCUUCUGAAUAAAAUUGUUAAACUUGUGAAUAAGCCUCUGCUGUUUUCAUCAAGGGUUAUUAUUUCCUACGGUUUUAGGAUCUAAGCAUCCAACCCUCCAGGUCACACAUAUAAUUAAAUAAAAUAUAAAAAGACAAAUAAAGUAAAAUAACAGUUCCCGAGUUUUGCAAAUGCUGGAAGCCCUGAUAUAAAUGCAGCAUUUACAUUAUAUAAACAACAUUGGUAAAGUUUAUCAACGUUCAUACAUUUUUAUGUUUUUUCUCUCUUGAUGUCUUUGGCUGUUUGGCUGUUGCAAUACCUUCUCCGGACCAGCGGGUGGCGCUGUUGCGCACACGUACAGCGGAACUGUCUGUAAACAAAAUAAAAGCAUGUAUUCAUGUUAACCAUGAUGUUAACGCCAUCAUGUUAGUCUUAAAAAUCAUUAAUAGCGAUGAUGAGAUGGAUGAAGAACUUAGCGAGUGGAACCACUCCUUCGUGGAUUCAGCAGCUCUUUUCCAACUCCUCAGUCGCUUCUUCUGGUAAAAUUGUCAGUUUUUGCUGCUUCAGCUUGAUUUGAAGAUAACUUGGGAUCAGCUGUUAAAGCAUCAUCAGCUCCUUCACAGUCAUUUUGCAUUUUGACCUGGAUGGCUGCUACCCUCAGGUGGAAAUGAUAAGAAAUCCAGCUCUGAAAUGCGUGCCUUUAGGUAAACCUAAAAUAUUAUUAUGGAAUAUUAAAGUUGCUGAGUUUCUGUGAAGAUUAAACACAUCCAUCUUCAGGUGUUCAGCAGAAAUGCAUCAUAGUCACCUGUAACUACGUGGCCAGGGGUUGGGGUGUUACCAAGCUGAUGUCUGAAGUGUUGCGAGCUGGUGCUGGUUAACGGAGAAGACCUGACACACUACAGAGAAAUGUCCUAUAAAGUGAAAGAAAACAGAAGAAGCUGUGGUCCAGCUGGUUUUGAUGGCAAUGAAACUUUUUCAGAAUAUGGUGGACAGCAGCGCUGAUUUUCACCUCACACUCCUAGACGUCUGCUUCAGCAACCUGCAGACGAGAGGGGCGGCUGUGAGCGCCAUCACAUCGUUCUUCACGCAGAACACAUCCCCCAGAAAACCCCAACACUUACCAUCACAAAACCAGGUGGUGCGUUUAAGAUCAACAGAUUCUGUCAUUUAAACGAGCUCUUCAUUUCUCCUCUUUAUAUCAUUAAAGGUGUUUUGUACCUUUUAUAUAUUUUUAAAGGGUUUUUCUGAAAAUGUAAGACUAUUACCAUAUUUUUUCUUUUUUAUUAUUAAAUAAAUACCGUAUUUUCCGGACAAUAAGUCACCCUUUUUUCAUAGUCUGGCUGGUCCUGCGACUUAUAUACCAAAUUAUGUAGGCUAUACUGCGCUGCAGCGGGCCGGCUCUGGACCAGGAAUGAGCUCCCCUGCCCCGCCAUACUCUGCUGGAGACCGUGACGUGCUGCUGCGCCGUGAUUGUUUAUUCUGUUAUUGUUACUGGUACUUGUCUUGCAAUGUGAAACGCUUGGUCUCAGAUUUUGUAAGGAAAAUAAUAAAAUUUCCCCCCAAAAUGCGACUUAUAGUCCAGCACGACUUACAUAUGUUUUCUUCUUCAUUAUACAUUUUAUGGCUGGUGCGACUUAUACUCCGGAAAAUACGGUAUUUAAACAAAUAGUGAAAACAGUAUGACUCAGAGCUUUUGCACAUCUAAACUAAAAUAUGAACUUUUUCUUGAUUUUAAGAGGAAAAAGCAAAUCAUAUUUUCAAAGUUGAAAACCAGAAUUUUAACAUAUUUGUUUUUAGUAUUUUUUGCAAGAAAUUUGUAUGUAAUUAUUUGUAGAUGUUGUUAAUCAGUACUUUUUCUUUUUAAAAUGAAAGCAUUAGAUGUUGCAGUUAUUAUUAUUCAUCUCUCGUUUGGACAGAAUAUUUGGGUAUUAAACGCUGUCAUUUAUCUUGGCGAGUAAAUACGUUGCUCUCUUUAGCUGCUUUACUUGUGCCAACUCAUGGACUCGACACACGGGAGGCGACAUCGCCUCUCCUCCAUUCAUUUUCAAUGAGACAUGCGUGACAAAGCGAUAAUCGCGGGUCUCCCUCCUACUAAGCGAAACGCGAAAAACAUGCUUGUGAAAUUUUGCACUCGCGCACGUGUCAUGCACAGGUGACCCAGCGACGCGAUCCCAGAAAGUUGAAAUAUUUUCAACUUUUCAUCGCUGUCGCUCGGACGAGGACCAAUCAACGGAGGUUUCAUUCACUAACCAAUGAGCGGACAGGAUGCUCCGUACAUCUCCGAGCAAACAUGGACUCCGUUUCUCCUUCUGUGACUGUGUUCAUCUUAAUGUGAGGUCCAAACCGUGUGAUAAAUUGAAGCAUGUCCUGGUAGACAGAGAGUAGCCCUCUCCUGGUUUGUAAUAUGGAAUGAACCCAUUCUCUGUUUUUUUAUAUAUAAUAAAAUCAGAAGUAAGAUUUCA